GAUAGGCGAUAGGCAACGCGGAUGAGUAGCUUCCAUCAACAUACCGACAUCUCCUCAUUGUCGUAUUUAGACUUUGGAGCAAUUCAGACUACAAGCAACAUCGUGCUUCUACUCAGGGAAAAAAACAUACUAUUAUUUAUGCCACUUUUAAGUGUAAAAAACUGUUGAGCCAACAUGGAAUUAGUCGAACAAUCCUAAUGAAGGUUAGCUCUUGGUUAGAUCACAGGUAAUCUAAUAGGUGCUAACCCUGAUUCUUCCAGGCUAUAGGUUAGAGACACCUGCCAUACGUGUGCAAGUAUGUAUUGCUGAAAUUAAUUACCCAUCCUACAUGGCAAGAGGAGAUUGGUUUGAGUCGAAGAGUUGGAUGCAAUUUUGUUGGAUGCCAUGUUAAUGAAGUUUGGAUUGUAAUUUUCUUUUGUUGAGCUGUGGAAAAUGAUAUUAGAAUGAUUUGCUGAACUUUUGUUGCUGAGAAUUGAAGUCAUGCUUCUCCAGAGCAUCAUGCUGCUCCUUCCACCACAUGGAGCAUGUAUUCAGGAGCAUG
rnacentral:lncRNA from 1 species